rnacentral:tRNA from 1 species
UUCUCCGUGGCGCAAUCGGCUGGCGCGUUCGGCUGUUAACCGAAGGUUGGUGGUUCGAACCCACCCGGGGCGAAU